GAGUUUGAUCAUGGCUCAGGAUGAACGCUAGCGGCAGGCUUAACACAUGCAAGUCGAGGGGUAUAGGUUUUCGGACCUAGAGACCGGCGCACGGGUGCGUAACGCGUAUGCAAUCUGCCUUUUACUGAGGGAUAGCCCAGAGAAAUUUGGAUUAAUACCUCAUAGUAUUAUUGAAUGGCAUCAUUUAAUAAUUAAAGUUCCAACGGUAAAGAUGAGCAUGCGUCCCAUUAGCUAGAUGGUAAGGUAACGGCUUACCAUGGCGACGAUGGGUAGGGGUCCUGAGAGGGAGAUCCCCCACACUGGUACUGAGACACGGACCAGACUCCUACGGGAGGUAGCAGUGAGGAAUAUUGGCCAAUGGGCGCAAGCCUGAACCAGCCAUGCCGCGUGCAGGAUGACGGCCCUAUGGGUUGUAAACUGCUUUUGUACGGGGAUAAAAAGUCCCUGCGGGGAAAUUGAAGGUACCUGGUGAAUAAGCCACGGCUAACUACGUGCCAGCAGCCGCCGCCGUAAC
rnacentral:rRNA from 1 species